GCUAGAAAGGAUACAAGUAUAAUGGAAUGGUCAAAAAUAAGACAAUAUGGUAUGGAGGAAGGAAUCUACGAUGAAAAAGAUAUUAAGGAAGCCAUUCAGUUUUUACAUGAGUUAGGAACUGUACAGUAUUUUGAUAAUGAUGUAUUAAGAGAUAGAGUGGUGAUCAACCCCCAGUGGAUUGUAAAUGUUAUGUCUUGUGUUGUAUCAGUUAAAAGCUCUCCCAUUCAGGCUAAAAGAGGAGAAUUUCAUCAUUCUGACAUGAAGACAAUAUGGAAUGAAUACCCUACAAGUCUCCAUCAAUGGUUAUUACAGUUAACAGAACAAUUUGAUCUGACCUUUCCUCUACCACAUCAAGAUAUUAAUAUAGUACCAUGUCUUCUUCCACAUGAAGAACCUAAACAAGCUAUUGAGACUGUCUGGCCGUCUAAUGAUGAAUUAAAGAAGAAAGGUAAAGAACAAUCAAAGAUGGUUUAUAGAUUCAGUUAUUUACCUGCUGGUCUUUUUAACAGAUGUCAGGUUAGACUUUUCCAGUUUUCAAAUGGGAAAUCAAUAUGGAAGAGAGGUUCUAUGUUAAAUAAAAAUAAUCAUCUUGCUCUCAUCAGACAAAUUAGUGAAAGUGAAUUAGAAAUACAAGUAUGUGGACAGAAACCAGCUAAUAUAAUAUUCCUUGUACAUGAGAUAAUAGAAGGUUUAAUAGAAGAAUCUUUUCAUGGUGUUGUUUAUGAUUUUCUUGUACCCUG